CCAGAGUAGAGUCCCAUUCAGUCCUACUGUGUGAGAGCAACAAGAGGAAGAUGGAGCAUUUUCUAACUGUUCUGCUGCUCACUGUAGCGACCCUGAUAAUCACCACAACAGGUCAACCCCAGUACAACACACUGAGCCAGGAGGAGAAGAAAUACGUGGACAUGGCUAUCAUACAUGCCAACGAGCAAUACAAGACGAGGGGAGAACACAUGAAUUACUACUAUUAAUUAAAGCUACAGUCCGGGAUUUGGAAAGGUGUUCAAUGAUCAAACCACACCUUAUUCAACAUGUUCCUGAAGUCAACAACUUGUACCAUGGCCAACGUAGCAAGUGAACACAAACAUCGCCCUGAAUGCAGUUUUAAAUCCAGCAGGUUCUGCCCGCUCUGACUCUGGUCCUUGUCUCCAGUCCGACUUCUUGUCAGUCCCGCUACACUGUCCUGGAUUCCCCACUCUACGCUUCCUUGGUUUCCCCUCCGGACCUGCUUACCCUGUCCCCACACCUCUCACUCCAGCCUCAGCCUCUGCACCUAGUUUCCACCAACCCACCCGAGCUUCCCCUGGCCUGCACUCAAUCUUCCCACCGUUUUUAAAUAAAUACCUUGGUUACUUCAUCCCAGUCUCCUCGUCUGAGUUUGCUCUUGGGUUCACCUGUUCCGCUCUGCAUGACAGAAUGUUCCGGAGUGGCCAAUUUACAGUUUUGACUUACGUAAAUCUACUUGAAAAUCUAUGGCAAAACCUGAAAAUGUCUGUCUAUUAAUGAUCAACAACAAAUUUGACAGAUGUUGAAGAAUUUUGAAAAUAAUAAUGGGCAAAUGUUGCACAAUCCAGGUGUGGAAAGCUCUUAGAGACUUCCCAUAAACAGCUGUAAUCGCUGCCAAUAGUACUUCUACAAAGUACUGACUCAGAGGUGUGAAUACUUAUGUAAAUUCAAUAUUUCUGUAUA